CUCGUAGGUGGUUUGAUGCGUCGGAAGUGAAAACACAGGGCUUAACUCUGUGCUUGCUUUCGAUACGGGCAGACUUGAGGAAGGUAGGGGAGAACGGAAUUCCUGGUGGAGCGGUGGAAUGCGCAGAUAUCAGGAGGAACACCAGUGGCGAAGGCGGUUCUCUGGACCUUUCCUGACGCUGAGGAGCGAAAGCGUGGGGAGCAAACA
rnacentral:rRNA from 1 species